rnacentral:rRNA from 5 species
GUAGGAGAACCUGCGGCUGGAUCACCUCCUUU